AGGGAACGCUGGCGGUAGGCCUAACACAUGCAAGUCGAACGGCAGCACAGUAAGAGCUUGCUCUUACGGGUGGCGAGUGGCGGACGGGUGAGGAAUACAUCGGAAUCUACUUUUUCGUGGGGGAUAACGUAGGGAAACUUACGCUAAUACCGCAUACGACCUACGGGUGAAAACAGGGGAUCUUCGGACCUUGCGCGAUUGAAUGAGCCGAUGUCGGAUUAGCUAGUUGGCGGGGUAAAGGCCCACCAAGGCGACGAUCCGUAGCUGGUCUGAGAGGAUGAUCAGCCACACCGGAACUGAGACACGGUCCAGACUCCUACGGGAGGCAGCAGUGGGGAAUAUUGGACAAUGGGCGCAAGCCUGAUCCAGCCAUACCGCGUGGGUGAAGAAGGCCCUCGGGUUGUAAAGCCCUUUUGUUGGGAAAGAAAAGCAGCAGGUUAAUACCCCGCUGUUCUGACGGUACCCAAAGAAUAAGCACCGGCUAACUUCGUG
rnacentral:rRNA from 1 species